AAUAAAAUAAAAAAAUAAAUGUUGUGUGUUACAACUCUCCCCCCUUAAAAGAAAUUUGGUCCCUCAAAUUUGUUUCCUACUCUCGAUCGAACAGCUGGGGAUACUGGGCUCUAAAGUUUGAUUCUAACCCUCAGGUAGCCUCCCUUGGUGUGUGGUUCUGCCAUAUGACCUUUACAAAGGAUAUUUUCCGAUUGCAAAGUAACCUGCUCUUU
rnacentral:lncRNA from 1 species